AAGCCUGCAGUCAUAGGGAGGGGUGAGACAAGAUUAAUCAUAUCAAAGGGGAUAAUAGCGCACACUUUCGUUUCGACAGUCACUUUUUGAAGGCAUUCACGGUGUUACGCCUGGUUGCACAUACGAAAAGUGAUGGAGGCAGAUGAAUGAAGGGGGAAAAAAGUGCUUGAGAGAAGUUCAAACCCUGCCUACUUUUGCAUUUUCAGAAUUCUCCUUACAUCAUCGACCUCUGACCUUCAGCGUGCUCUGAGUCGGAUUGCAGUCGAGUGUGAAGCAGCUUGGAAGACAGUCCCCACGUCCUGUCUGACGCCAUGGAAUUCUGCUGGAAAACAGAGGACUGCUAAUCAGGGUUAUCAUCAAAAUGAAAAGAAAAGGACAUUAUGUCCUAUUUCGCCCCCACAAAUAAAAACAAUGAUGAGGCAGACAUUGAGAUAGAUCCAGAUGAUCCAGAGAGAGCUGAAGAGAAACAGCAGGAAGUGGAGAGCGAGAAAGCCAGAGAGCAGGAAGGAGAGACAGAUGAGACCGGAGAGUGAGGCUGAGGGUGACAUACAAGCAGAGUGGGAGACACAAACAGGGGAUACAUCAUGUGCAUCCACAAGCACUGGACCAUCAGUUUGUCUUUCUCCACAGAUAACAGCAAAUGUAAAGAAGACCCAUCGAUGCAGCCAAACUUGAAAUUGUUUCUAAAGACCUUGUUGUGUUGGGGAACAGGAGGAGCUUCAAGGCGGCCUGGUACAACAUUCACCCCUAGCUCGAGUAUUCUAAACUAUCAGACUCUGCGUACUGUUACGCCUGCAGACAUUUUAGCCCUCCUAAUAGCACAGACACAGUAUCUGACUCACCAUCUGGAUUCAAAAACUGGAAGAAGGCAACCUACAGAGGGCGGGGUUUUGCAAUCCAUGCCAAGUCUGAGUGGCACAAACAAGCAAUGAUUACAUGGAGGUACUAUCAGAGAGCUGUUACAACUAAUGUAACACUGGCAAAUGUCCUAAACAAGGAACAUAACUGGUUGGAGAAAAUCGGGAAUAUAUGAAAACAACGAUAAAACGACAACAAUAAAAAAGGGAACUUCACAGCAAUUCUAGAGACAACUGCUAACAAGAUACAAGAUACCAGAUAGAUUUAUUGAUCAUUUUACAACACAGGCUUGUAUAAUGAGAUUUUGUUUUGUAGUUCCCUUUAUGCUACAAAAAAUGAUAUACAGUACAGUAGAUCAGUGCUGAGGAUGAAUUUUUAUGGCUCCUCUGUAAAAGUUAAUAAGAACAUGGCAAAUAAGAACCAUGACAAAGCUGUUAAAAAGGUUGACUUCCAUAUAUAAUGCAAAGUACACAAGCAAACUCAUCCAGGAUGAGGUUCUGGAUUGUUUGGCAGACAAGGUUCCAAUCGAAAUUACAGAAGAAGUGAAAAACAGUUUAGUCUUCAGCAUCAUGGCAGAUGAAACAAAAGAUGUAAAAAAACAGAACACACAUCUCUAUUACUCAGGUACUAUUUCAACGGAGCAAGUGUUUUUUCCAUUUUGAACCUGCCAAGAGGCUCGAUGCACCAGGGCUUACUGAAAUCAUAAUCCACAUAUUGGAAAGUCAUGGUCUAGAAUACGAAAACAACCUUAUAGGCCAAGCAUAUGACGGUGCAGCCGUCAUGAAUGGUAAGCAUUCCAGGGUCCAGGCUAGAAUCAAAGAGCAAGCGAAAUAUGCCUUUUACAUCCAUUGCAAUGCCCACUGUCCAAAUUUAGUUUGAGUAGAUACAGUCAAAGCUGUCCCAGAGGCAGAGGAGUUGUUCUCCCUACUUGAAAAACUAUAUGUAUUGACAUCUGGGUCAUAUGUCCAUCCUAAAUGGCUAACUAUACAAAGAGAGAUGUACGAAGGUGCACCAAGAGAACUCCAGCGGUUAAGCGACACGAUGGGCAUGUCGAUUUAUAGCUCUACGAAACAUUAUGGAUAGAUUGCCUGCCCUUAAGCGAGUACUGCAAGAGAUAGCCCAAGAAUGGAAUGGUGAAAGGAUGUAUUGAGGCUGGAAGUCUGCUGCCACAAAUAAAUCUUGAAUUCACUGUGCAUCUUGUUCUCCGUUAAGUGUUUGGAAAACUUCUCUCUGAUAUGCUACAGUCUUCAUCACUUGACUUUUCAAAAGCUGUUGAUUUAGUUGAAGCUUUAGUUCAGACAUUGAAUGACUUCACUCGGUGAACACUGUGUACUGACUACUGUUGGUCAGAGAGUCAGAACCAGAUAAAGACAGGUUUCGUGCAGCCUUUUUCGACCCCGUCAUUGAUCAGAUGCUCAAGGAGCUUAACAGAUGGUUUUCAAUAACAAACUGUGACAUAAUGAACCCCAAAAGUGAUGCAUUUCUGAAAGAGACAGCUCUGUUUUAAUUUUCUUGAUUGUAUGAUUCAAAUAUUGAUGACUUUGGGCAUGAACUACAUCAGUUCAGCCAAAUUCUACAAAGUAAAAUACAGACUGGGAUGCAGAGCCCCUGUAGUACAGUAGAGUUGGUACUGUUAGUGAGCCGUAUAGAGAAGUGUUUUUUGAGCUCUUCAGACUCAAAAUAGCAGUUGCAAUCCCAGAGCGUACUGCUUCUUGUGAGCGGAGUUUUUCUACUCUGAAGCUGCUGAAAACUUACCUCAGGUCCAGCAUAACCGAUGAGAGACUGAGCAAUCACAAAAAACGCAGAAUACAGUUGAUGUAAUGUGAAAUUCUAGAAAGGAAAAUACAGACUGGGAUGCAGGGCCCCUCUCGUACAGUAGAGCUUUUAUUGUUCAUUGAGCCUUGAGCUGAAGCUAACAGGAAUGUCUUUUAUUUUGUUUUCAAUAUUGUAAUUUAAUAAAAUUGUAACUAUAACUGUAAGUAAAUGAAACAUAUAACAAUCAUGGUAAUUUAUGUUGUUUUUUUUGUGUGCUAUUACUUUAUAUACUGAACAAAUCAUUUUGAAAGCUUGAACACUGUCUUUGUCUCUUUUGUCCCCGGUCGAAUAUGCCCCUCUG